rnacentral:snRNA from 1 species
GUGCUUGCUUCGGCAGCACAUACACUAAAAUUGGAACAAUACAGAGAAGAUUAGCAUAACCCACGCACAAGGAUGACAUGCAAAUUUGUGAAGUAUUCCAUAUUUUU